rnacentral:tRNA from 1 species
GCCUGGGUGGCUCAGCUGGUGAAGCAUCCAACUUCCACUGGGAUCAUGAUCUCAUAGUUCGUGGGUUCGAGCCCCGCAUCAGGCU